AGUGAACGCUGGCGGCAGGCCUAACACAUGCAAGUCGAGCGGGGUUUUCGGACCUAGCGGCGGACUGGUGAGUAAUGCGUAGGAAGCUGCCCGAUAGAGGGGGAUACCAGUUGGAAACGACUGUUAAUACCGCAUAAUGUCUACGGACCAAAGUGUGGGACCUUCGGGCCACAUGCUAUCGGAUGCGCCUACGUGGGAUU
rnacentral:rRNA from 1 species